UACGUAGGGCGCAAGCGUUAUCCGGAAUUAUUGGGCGUAAAGAGCUCGUAGGCGGUUUGUCGCGUCUGCCGUGAAAGUCCGGGGCUCAACUCCGGAUCUGCGGUGGGUACGGGCAGACUAGAGUGAUGUAGGGGAGACUGGAAUUCCUGGUGUAGCGGUGAAAUGCGCAGAUAUCGGGAGGAAUACCUAUGGCGAAGGCAGGUCUCUGGGCACUACUGACGCUGAGAAGCGAAAGCGCGGGGAGCGAACAGG
rnacentral:rRNA from 1 species